AUGAACGCUAGCGGCAGGCUUAACACAUGCAAGUCGAGGGGCAGCGCGGGAUAGCAAUAUCCUGGCGGCGACCGGCGGAAGGGUGCGUAACGCGUGAGCGACAUGCCCGUUGCCCGGGGACAACCGGUGGAAACGCCGACUAAUCCCCGAUGGGAUACGAUGCUUCAUGGCAUUGUAUUGAAAGUUACGGCGGCGACGGAUUGGCUCGCGUCCGAUUAGCUUGUUGGCGGGGUAACGGCCCACCAAGGCUACGAUCGGUAGGGGUUCUGAGAGGAAGGCCCCCCACAAUGGGACUGAGACACGGCCCAUACUCCUACGGGAGGCAGCAGUGAGGAAUAUUGGUCAAUGGGCGGAAGCCUGAACCAGCCAUGCCGCGUGCGGGAAGGAGGCCCUAUGGGCUGUGAACCGCUUUUGCCUGGGGGCAAUAAGGGCGUCGCGCACGUCCGAUGAGAGUACCAGGCGAAUAAGCAUCGGCUAACUCCGUGCCAGCAGCCGCGGUAAUACGGGGGAUGCGAGCGUUAUCCGGAUUCAUUGGGUUUAAAGGGUGCGUAGGCUGUGCGUCAAGUCGGGGGUGAAAUUCCGGUGCUCAACACCGGGGCUGCCCUUGAUACUGUCGCGCUGGAGUGCGGAUGCCGCCGGAGGAAUGAGUGGUGUAGCGGUGAAAUGCUUAGAUAUCACUCAGAACACCGAUUGCGAAGGCAUCUGGCGAAUCCGUAACUGACGCUGAGGCACGAAAGCGUGGGGAUAGAACAGGAUUAGAUACCCUGGUAUUCCACGCCGUAAACGAUGAUGGCUAACCGCCGGCGACACACUGUCGGUGGCCAAGCGAAAGCGAUAAGCCAUCCACCUGGGGAGUACGUCGGCAACGAUGAAACUCAAAGGAAUUGACGGGGGCCCGCACAAGCGGAGGAACAUGUGGUUUAAUUCGAUGAUACGCGAGGAACCUUACCCGGGCUUGAAUUGCAGAGGAAGGAUUUGGAGACAAUGACGCCCUUCGGGGCCUCUGUGAAGGUGCUGCAUGGUUGUCGUCAGCUCGUGCCGUGAGGUGUCGGCUCAAGUGCCAUAACGAGCGCAACCCUUGCCGCCAGUUGCCAUCAGGUGAUGCUGGGCACUCUGGCGGGACUGCCACCGCAAGGUGUGAGGAGGGGGGGGAUGACGUCAAAUCAGCACGGCCCUUACGUCCGGGGCGACACACGUGUUACAAUGGCGGCCACAGAGGGAUGCUACCCCGCGAGGGGAUGCGGAUCUCGAAAAGCCGUCCCAGUUCGGACUGGAGUCUGCAACCCGACUCCACGAAGUUGGAUUCGCUAGUAAUCGCGCAUCAGCCAUGGCGCGGUGAAUACGUUCCCGGGCCUUGUACACACCGCCCGUCAAGCCAUGGAAGCCGCGGGCGCCUGAAGUCCGUGACCGGAAGGAGCGGCCUAGGGCGAAAGUGGUAACUGGGGCU
rnacentral:rRNA from 1 species